rnacentral:rRNA from 1 species
UACGGAGGGUGCGAGCGUUGUUCGGAAUUACUGGGCGUAAAGCGCGUGUAGGCUGCCUUCUAAGUCUGGUGUGAAAGCCCGGGGCUCAACCCCGGAAGUGCAUUGGAUACUGGGAGGCUGGAGUACCGGAGAGGAGGGUGGAAUUCCUGGUGUAGCGGUGAAAUGCGUAGAUAUCAGGAGGAACACCGGUGGCGAAGGCGGCCCUCUGGACGGAUACUGACGCUGAGACGCGAAAGCGUGGGGAGCAAACAGG